GGUCAAUCUACCCUCAGGACGGGGAUAACCUCGGGAAACUGAGGCUAACACCCGAUAGAUAAUGGAUCCUGGAAUGGUUCAUUAUUUAAACGGCACAUUGCUCAUGCGCAGUAUGCCGCCUGAGGAUGAGACUGCAUCCUAUCAGGUAGUUGGUGGGGUAAUGGCUCACCAAGCCGAUAACGGGUACGGGCCCUGAGAGGGGGAGCCCGGAGAUGGGCACUGAGACAAGGGCCCAGGCCCUACGGGGCGCAGCAGGCGCGAAACCUCUGCAAUGCGCGAAAGCGCGACAGGGCCACCCCGAGUGCUAGCCGCUGAGGUUAGCUUUUCCUUAGUGUAGUAAGCUAAGGGAAUAAGCGGGGGGCAAGCCUGGUGUCAGCCGCCGCGGUAAUACCAGCUCCGCGAGUGGUCGGGACGAUUAUUGGGCCUAAAGCGUCCGUAGCCGGCCUAUCAAGUCUCUGGUUAAACUUCAAGGCUUAACCUUGAGAUUGCUGGAGAUACUGUUAGGCUAGGGGGCGGGAGAGGUUGAGGGUACUUCGCGGGUAGGGGCGAAAUCCUAUAAUCCGCGAAGGACCACCAGUGGCGAAGGCGCUCAACUGGAACGCGCCCGACGGUGAGGGACGAAAGCCAGGGGAGCAAAGGGGAUUAGAUACCCCCGUAGUCCUGGCUGUAAACGAUGCGGGCUAGGUGUUGGGUUGGCUUCGUGCCAACCCGGUGCCGCAGUGAAGACGAUAAGCCCGCCGCCUGGGAAGUACGGCUGCAAGGCUGAAACUUAA
rnacentral:rRNA from 1 species